GAUGAAGAACGUAGCGAAAUGCGAUAAGUAAUGUCAAUUGCAGAAUUCAGUGAAUCAUCGAAUCUUUGAACGCACAUUGCGCCCCUUGGUAUUCCGAGGGGCAUGCCUGUUCGAGCGUCAUUAUAACCCCUCAAGCUCGGCUUGGUGUUGGGGCCUGCCGCACGGGCAGCCCUUAAAAUCAGUGGCGGUGCCAUCUGGCUCUAAGCGUAGUAAUUCUUCUCGCUAUAGAGUCCCGGUGGAUGCUUGCCAUUAACCCCCAAUUUCAAUGGUUGACCUCGGAUCAGGUAGGGAUACCCGCUGAACUUAAGCAUAUCAAUAAGCGGAGGA
rnacentral:misc_RNA from 1 species